GGGUCAGGAUGAUAGGUGAAAAUUCACCCUAUUUACCUCAGGACUCCGGAGCUUGUCAAUCAGUAUAUUUAUUCAACAAGAACAAUUGCAAUUGGGCUCACUCACAAAACAAGGAUGAAAGUGAAGCAAUGAUAAACACAUCGCACAAGGUUUAUAUAGACAGAAGUUGAGCGUUCAGCAGGGAUAACCACGUGGUGGAUUUCUGAUAUCCGAGGCAAGGAUGGAAGUUUUGCAAGGUCGGAAGAAGCACAGUUCGAACCUUCUUAUCACUUCUGGUCUAAACAUGCUCUUGUACAUAUGCAGACUAAGUGGCACCUAAUAAUCUAAGUUACACACACGCAGAAACACAGAAAAGCCAUGUUCCUGCUUACAUAAGUACAUGAUUCAUAUAAGGUCAUUAAUAAUACAAGGCACUUGAUUAUUAUAUUCUUAAGUCAUUAACCGUGUUUGGAAAUUAUCUCCAUCACAGGAUGUACAUCAUAAUGUAUAUCACAUCUCCCUGCAGCUGAUUUACACAAACAGAAAUACACACAGACACAGAGAGAAGUACACACACAUUGAGACACACAGACACAGACCAAUACACACACAUAGAGACACACAGACCAAUACACACACAUAGAUACAAUACACACAGACACAGACCAAUACACACACAGAGAUACACACACACACAGAGAGAAGUACACACACAGAGAUACACACACACACAGACCAAUACACACACAGAGAUGUGCCUCCAUAAGAGCAGCCGGGGUCAGACUGAGAACGUGGCAAAUUUACGGCGUUGUUCCAUCACCGCCUUGGCGUUGUGCAGUGUGUUAUUCGGCCAAUCAGAAUACUCGCAGUCUGACAGACAGAGAGAGCGAGAGAUGGAUGGCAGACAGGGAGAGAGAGAGAGAGAGGGAGAGAGAGGGAGAUGGAUGAGAGAGAGAGAGGGGGAGAGAGAGAGAGAGGGGGAGAGAGGGGGAGACAGAGAGAGAGGGAGAGAUGCAGUGAGAGAGAGAGAGGGAGAGAGAGGGAUGAGAGAGAGAGAGAGAGGGAUGGAUGAGAGGAAGUUGGGUGAAGAGAGCAGAGGGAAGAAAGGAGGAAAGAGUAAAAGAAUGAAAGAGUAAAAGAUUGGCAGAAAGAGUGGAAGAAAGAAAGAUAGAAGGAAAGAAAUAGUGAAAAGAGGGGAAGAAGCUGUGCUGUGGUGUCUCUGCAGCAUUAAAUGGAAGAAAUUUAAAUAUUACAGAGUGUACAACUAAAUAUUUGAUUAAUGGUCUUCUGGUUUGAGCUCCUGUUUGUGCCAGUGGAGGAGGAUUUCAAAGCAACUUGACAGAUAGGAAGAGACGGUACGCACACACACACACACACUCACACACACACACACACUCACACACUUAGACACACUUAGACACACACACACUUACACACACGCACACACUCACAGCCAAAGACCA
ensembl:lncRNA